GACGAACGCUGGCGGCGUGCUUAACACAUGCAAGUCGAACGGUAAGGCCCCUUCGGGGGUACACGAGUGGCGAACGGGUGAGUAACACGUGAGCAACCUGCCCCAGACAUCGGGAUAACAAGUGGAAACACUUGCUAAUACCGGAUACGACCUCAGCGGACAUCUGCAUGAGGUGGAAAGCUCCGGCGGUCGGGGAUGGGCUCGCGGCCUAACAGCUUGUUGGUGAGGUAACGGCUCACCAAGGCUUCGACGGGUAGCCGGCCUGGGAGGGCGACCGGCCGCACUGGGACUGAGAUACGGCCCAGACUCCUACGGGAGGCAUCAGUGGGGAAUAUUGAGCAAUGGGCGCAAGCCUGAUGCAGCAACGCCGCGUGCGGGAUGACGGCCUUCGGGUUGUAAACCGCUUUUAGUAAGGAAGAAGGGGAGCUUGCUCCUUGACGGUACUUGCAGAAAAAGGACCGGCUAACUACGUGCCAGCCGCCGCGGUAAAAC
rnacentral:rRNA from 1 species